rnacentral:ncRNA from 1 species
UACUCGGGUGCUUAAGAGCUGAGAGGUUGUAAUAACAACUACCGAUAGAACCUGAUCUAGUUUAUACUAGCGUAGGGAGUAAAUUAUUU